UACGAAGGGGGCUAGCGUUGCUCGGAAUCACUGGGCGUAAGGGUGCGUAGGCGGGUCUUUAAGUCAGGGGUGAAAUCCUGGAGCUCAACUCCAGAACUGCCUUUGAUACUGAAGAUCUUGAGUGCGGGAGAGGUGAGUGGAACUGCGAGUGUAGAGGUGAAAUUCGUAGAUAUUCGCAAGAACACCAGUGGCGAAGGCGGCUCACUGGCCCGAUACUGACGCUGAGGCACGAAAGCGUGGGGAGCAAACAGG
rnacentral:rRNA from 1 species